AUUGAACGCUGGCGGCAUGCCUUACACAUGCAAGUCGAACGGUAAGGCCCUUUCGGGGGUACACGAGUGGCGGACGGGUGCGUAACGCGUAUGCAACAUGCCUUCCAGCGGGGGAUAUACCAGGGAAACUUGGCGCAAUACCCCAUAGAAUUACGGGACCGCAUGGUCUUGUGAUUAAAACUCCGGUGCUGGGAGAUUGGCAUGCGUGACAUUAGCUAGUUGGCGGGGUAACGGCCCACCAAGGCGACGAUGUCUAGCUGGUCUGAGAGGAUGAUCAGCCACACUGGGACUGAGACACGGCCCAGACUCCUACGGGAGGCAGCAGUAGGGAAUAUUGGACAAUGGGGGCAACCCUGAUCCAGCCAUGCCGCGUGUGUGAAGAAGG
rnacentral:rRNA from 1 species